rnacentral:rRNA from 1 species
GAUGAACGCUAGCGACAGGCUUAACACAUGCAAGUCGAGGGGCAGCACGGGAGUAGCAAUACAACUGGUGGCGACCGGCGCACGGGUGAGUAACGCGUAUGCAACCUACCUAUCAGAGGGGAAUAACCCGGCGAAAGUCGGACUAAUACCGCAUAAAACAGGGGCACCGCAUGGUGAUAUUUGCUAAAGAAAUUCGCUGAUAGAUGGGCAUGCGUUCCAUUAGGUAGUUGGUGAGGUAACGGCUCACCAAGCCGACGAUGGAUAGGGGAACUGAGAGGUUGGUCCCCCACACUGGUACUGAGACACGGACCAGACUCCUACGGGAGGCAGCAGUGAGGAAUAUUGGUCAAUGGGCGAGAGCCUGAACCAGCCAAGUCGCGUGAAGGAAGAAGGAUCUAUGGUUCGUAAACUUCUUUGCAGGGGAAUAAAGUGCAGGACGUGUCCUGUUUUGUAUGUACCCUGAGAAUAAGGAUCGGCUAACUCCGUGCCAGCCGCCGCAGUAAGAC